UGGGGAAUUUUGGACAAUGGGCGCAAGCCUGAUCCAGCAAUGCCGCGUGCAGGAUGAAGGCCUUCGGGUUGUAAACUGCUUUUGUACGGAACGAAAAAGCUCUCUCUAAUACAGGGGGUGAAUGACGGUACCGUAAGAAUAAGCACCGGCUAACUACGUGCCAGCAGCCGCGGUAAUACGUAGGGUGCAAGCGUUAAUCGGAAUUACUGGGCGUAAAGCGUGCGCAGGCGGUUUUGUAAGACAGAGGUGAAAUCCACGGGCUCAACCUGGGAACUGCCUUUGUGACUGCAAAGCUGGAGUGCGGCAGAGGGGGAUGGAAUUCCGCGUGUAGCAGUGAAAUGCGUAGAUAUGCGGAGGAACACCGAUGGCGAAGGCAAUCCCCUGGGCCUGCACUGACGCUCAUGCACGAAAGCGUGGGGAGCAAACA
rnacentral:rRNA from 1 species